rnacentral:rRNA from 1 species
AGAGUUUGAUCCUGGCUCAGGAUAACGCUGGCGGCGUGCCUAACACAUGCAAGUCGAACGAUCCCGCAAGGGAGAGUGGCGGAAGGGUGAGUAACACGUGGGAAUCUACCCGGUCGGAGGGAACAACCUGUCGAAAGACGGGCUAAUACCCAAAAGGAUCCGAAAUGAUCAGAGUCGAAAGGCCUGACCGGAUGAGCCUGCGGCGCAUCAGCUAGAUGGUGGGGUAAGAGCUUACCAUGGCUACGACGCGUAGGGGGUCUGAGAGGACGUCCCCCCACACUGGAACUGAAACACGGUCCAGACGCCUACGGGUGGCAGCAGUGAGGAAUAUUCGUCAAUGGGGGAAACCCUGAACGAGCAACGCCGCGUGAAGGAAGAAGGCCCUCGGGUUGUAAACUCCUUUUAGGGGAGACGAGAAAGGACGGUAUCCCCGGAAUAAGUCACGGCUAACUGCGUGCCAGCAGCCGCGGUAAUACGUAGGUGACGAGCGUUAUCCGGAUUUACUGGGCGUAAAGCGCUUGUAG